rnacentral:sRNA from 1 species
AUUUUUGUCUUCUUUU